GGAAAUUCUGCAUGCAGUGACGAUGAUGAUGAAGUGGGGUUUUCUCUGUGAAUCCCCUGCUGGCUGCACUCCAGAACGUGGGCUGUCAGUCAGGUAGGGGCCAUGUGCAGGGCUGGCUUCUCUUCCCCCUGAAGUGUUUAGCCACAACGGAGAGUUGUCCAUUAAAAUGACAGGGGCCUGGAAAGAGCUGGGCAGGCUGAGCUCCGAGAUGGUGCAGAAUGGGCUGUGAACAGGCAGGCAGGCACCUUUUCCAAGCACCAUCUACCCUGAGGGAAGCUCCCUGAGCAUCCUCACCAGCCAGGAAUGCCUUCGUGUUAGUUUAAUGAAGGCAAGCUCCUCCUGAGAGAACUUCGUGGCAUGAAAUGAUGCUCUGCAACGUGUGGUUUGUCACCAGGCUGGGACAGCAACCAGCUGGUUUUACACCUAUUUCCUCCUGCUGUUUCUUGUCUGAGUUACAGCAGCAUCCAGGAGCAUCAGCUGAAAUAAAGUCUGUUUUCAUAUGGUGCUCACCACCACAAAAUACACAAGGAUGGGUUUUCCAGCAAUCAGGUUCUUAUUGGAAAGAUGGCCUUAGAUCUUCUAGAAUUCUUGCUCUCUUCUGUUGAUUGUGGACUUUAGAUACUGAGUCCCUUCCCCCUAGCCAAGCCCAUUCCACCUUCCCAUUCCAGCCUCUCCAAACAGCUGCCUCUGUCUGUGCCUGGGAUUAUUUUAAACUUUCUUCAUUAUAGAUAAGCAAACAUUUAUUGGGCCAGAGUGAAAAAGCAUAAGAAUGUGUCACAGCACCUUCAUCUGUGAGAAUGUACUCCUGGUGCCUUCAGUGAUUACUUCACACAAAGUACCUGGUUAGCAUAGGGCAAGAAUGGCAGUUGGAUUCCCUCAUUUUUAUAUUGUAAUGUUUUUCUUUUUCUUUCCUAAUAAAAAGUCAGUUAUGCUUUACAAGUGAAAGAGUUUCAACCAAAAACUGUUCUCCUGUGCUUAAGGCCGUCAUAAGAAAACAGGACAGAAAAGUUCAAAUGUCCCUGUGUAGAGAUGAACUUCAACUAUCUUACUAGGGAGGAUUUCCCUAGAUUAAUUUCAUGGAAUGGAGCAGAGGUACUAUAUUCUAGAAGAUGGUGUAGACCAAAAAAUCCUGAGGGAAAGAAGUUUCUGCUUAUCAAAAUUACAGAGGCCUGGGAGGGUGAGGGUUCAGCUUACUCAGUAUGUUAAGAGCUCAGUUUUUUACCAUCUCUUGAGCUUGUAGUAGCAAGAAUAUGUUCUCUUUAUUCAUUUAGCCUAGAUACCCAUUGCUUUCUUAAUCUAUUUAAAUUACUAUCUUUACAUUAAGAAAAGGUAAAUUCUGAAGUGUUUUUUAUCUUGAGGGGGGAAGAUUGAAAGAUUCAGACACGUCUCUGUUCUCCGUUUCCCCACAUUCAACAAAUCUGUGCAAGAACAGAUUCAACAAAUCUGUGGAAGUCAGCACCACUGCUGGUUUUUAGUUCUCAACUCAACAGCUGGAUUUCAUCUGAACAUAUGAUCAAAGAGAGACACUAUCAGGAUGCAGAAAGCUGAGUUCAAAAUAGGGAUAACCAGGCAGCAUUAGAACAUUCAAAAGGAUACUGUCUCCAUAUCAGAAGUGCAGAUCCAAAUGCUGCAGUUCAAGCUCACCAAUAUUGAUUCAGAUGCAGCAAUGAGAAGAGUUUUGCUUUGUUUUCUCCCUGCAUCCUUAUGGGAAUUCCCACACAGUUUUACCUAUUUCAGUGGAAAGAGAUGAGGAAAUGGUGUGGGAUGCCUGGAUGCCUGUGAUGCCCAGCUGUUUAUUUUCAGAAGAAGCCUUGGGAGUAUUCACUCUCUUUCCUGAUACAAGAACAAGAGGCUCUGCCUGGCUCAGGCUAUGAGCUACAAAUUGCUGGAAGCUGGGACUACACAGUACAUAAAUCACAUAUUCUCCUUGGAAGACACAAGGCACUUCCCUUUUGGAUCCUGCUUAUGAAUUUUUACAGCUUGGAGAACUGCAAAUGUGCUUGAGAGGAAAGUGUAUCUGUGACCAAGGGAAACACAAAAGGGGAAGAAAAGUUGCAAGACUUCACAGACCUCCUGAAAUUCCAUGUCCCUGUGCAUCAAAGGCUUUGCCUCCUUUCUGAAAGAUGCUGUCUUCAUCACUGCACGUGAUACUGCAUCCUUUGGGAUUCAUUCUGCCAGCUAUCAAUAGAAUUAUUUAUAUACAAAACUUGUCAGGUUAGCAAAGGCACAGGAAUGCAGCUGCUCUUUAAAGAGUGUUUACAGUAAGGAUGACCAUGGAAGAUGCUGGCUGUCCACAGACACAGGCCAUGGAGGGAGCCAGUUACUUUGAAGAUACAAACAUUCUAACCAUGUUUAGAUAUACAGACUGACAGCUCUGAGGAUGACAGAGAUGCAAGCCAACAAUAACAAGGGACAGAGCGUUGUCCUAGAAUAGUUACACUGAAAUACAAGGCACUGUGAAAUAAAUUCUUAGUCUUUAGGAGCCAUGAGUGUGUUGCCCUGUUCUUUUAAAAGUUUUAAAGUUCUUUUACAAGUUUUCUAUGCCUUCUGAUGUUUACAUAUUUCUA